rnacentral:rRNA from 1 species
AACGAACGCUGGCGGCAUGCCUAACACAUGCAAGUCGAACGAGACCUUCGGGUCUAGUGGCGCACGGGUGCGUAACGCGUGGGAACCUGCCCUUAGGUUCGGAAUAACUCCCCGAAAGGGGUGCUAAUACCGGAUAAUGUCUUCGGACCAAAGAUUUAUCGCCUUUGGAUGGGCCCGCGUUGGAUUAGCUAGUUGGUAGGGUAAAAGCCUACCAAGGCGACGAUCCAUAUCUGGUCUGAGAGGAUGAUCAGCCACACUGGGACUGAGACACGGCCCAGACUCCUACGGGAGGCAGCAGUGGGGAAUAUUGGACAAUGGGCGAAAGCCUGAUCCAGCAAUGCCGCGUGAGUGAUGAAGGCCUUAGGGUUGUAAAGCUCUUUUACCCGGGAUGAUAAUGACAGUACCGGGAGAAUAAGCUCCGGCUAACUCCGUG